UACGAAGGGUGCAAGCGUUACUCGGAAUUACUGGGCGUAAAGCGUGCGUAGGUGGUUCGUUAAGUCUGAUGUGAAAGCCCUGGGCUCAACCUGGGAAUGGCAUUGGAAACUGGCGACCUAGAGUGCGGUAGAGGGUAGUGGAAUUCCCGGUGUAGCAGUGAAAUGCGUAGAGAUCGGGAGGAACAUCCGUGGCGAAGGCGACUACCUGGACCAGCACUGACACUGAGGCACGAAAGCGUGGGGAGCAAAC
rnacentral:rRNA from 1 species